AUUGAACGCUGGCGGCAGGCCUAACAAAUGCAAGUCGAACGAGUGGCGGACGGGUGAGUAAUGUCUGGGAAACUGCCUGAUGGAGGGGGAUAACUACUGGAAACGGUAGCUAAUACCGCAUACCAUCGGAUGUGCCCAGAUGGGAUUAGCUAGUAGGUGGGGUAAAGGCUCACCUAGGCGACGAACCCUAGCUGGUCUUAGAGGAUGACACGCCCCACUGGAACUGAGACACGGUCCAGACUCCUACGGGAGGCAGCAGUUGGGAAUAUUGCACAAUGGGCGCAAGCCUGAGGCAGCCAUGCCGCGUGUAUGAAGAAGUCCUUCGGGUUGUAAAGUACUUUCAGCGGGGAGGCGUUACCCGCUGAAGAAUCACCGGCUAACUCCGUGCCAGCAGCCGCGGUAAUAC
rnacentral:rRNA from 1 species